rnacentral:rRNA from 1 species
AGCUUGCUCCUCUGACGUUAGCGGCGGACGGGUGAGUAACACGUGGAUAACCUACCUAUAAGACUGGGAUAACUUCGGGAAACCGGAGCUAAUACCGGAUAAUAUAUUGAACCGCAUGGUUCAAUAGUGAAAGACGGUUUUGCUGUCACUUAUAGAUGGAUCCGCGCCGCAUUAGCUAGUUGGUAAGGUAACGGCUUACCAAGGCAACGAUGCGUAGCCGACCUGAGAGGGUGAUCGGCCACACUGGAACUGAGACACGGUCCAGACUCCUACGGGAGGCAGCAGUAGGGAAUCUUCCGCAAUGGGCGAAAGCCUGACGGAGCAACGCCGCGUGAGUGAUGAAGGUCUUCGGAUCGUAAAACUCUGUUAUUAGGGAAGAACAAAUGUGUAAGUAACUAUGCACGUCUUGACGGUACCUAAUCAGAAAGCCACGGCUAACUACGUGCCAGCAGCCGCGGUAAUACGUAGGUGGCAAGCGUUAUCCGGAAUUAUUGGGCGUAAAGCGCGCGUAGGCGGUUUUUUAAGUCUGAUGUGAAAGCCCACGGCUCAACCGUGGAGGGUCAUUGGAAACUGGAAAACUUGAGUGCAGAAGAGGAAAGUGGAAUUCCAUGUGUAGCGGUGAAAUGCGCAGAGAUAUGGAGGAACACCAGUGGCGAACGCGACUUUCUGGUCUGUAACUGACGCUGAUGUGCGAAAGCGUGGGGAUCAAACAGGAUUAGAUACCCUGGUAGUCCACGCCGUAAACGAUGAGUGCUAAGUGUUAGGGGGUUUCCGCCCCUUAGUG